rnacentral:rRNA from 1 species
GACGAACGCUGGCGGCGUGCUUAACACAUGCAAGUCGAACGGUAAGGCCCUUCGGGGUACACGAGUGGCGAACGGGUGAGUAACACGUGGGUGAUCUGCCCUGCACUUCGGGAUAAGCCUGGGAAACUGGGUCUAAUACCGGAUAGGACCAUUGCCUGCAUGGGUGGUGGUGGAAAGCUUUUGCGGUGUGGGAUGGGCCCGCGGCCUAUCAGCUUGUUGGUGGGGUGAUGGCCUACCAAGGCGACGACGGGUAGCCGGCCUGAGAGGGUGACCGGCCACACUGGGACGGAGAUACGGCCCAGAAUCCUACGGGAGGCAGCAGGGGGGAAUAUUGGACAAUGGGCGCAAGCCUGAUGCAGCGACGCCGCGUGAGGGAUGCCGGCCUUCGGGUUGUAAACCUCUUUCAGCACCGACGAAGCGCAAGUGACGGUAGGUACAGAAGAAGGACCGGCCAACUACGUGCCAGCCGCCGCAGUAA